rnacentral:tRNA from 1 species
GCCUUCGUGGUGUAAUGGUCAGCACACCGAGCCGGUAUUUCAGAGGUCCGUGGUUCGAUUCCCGGCGAAGGCC